rnacentral:rRNA from 1 species
GAUGAACGCUGGCGGCGUGCCUAAUACAUGCCAGUCGAGCGAACAGACGAGGAGCUUGCUCCUCUGACGUUAGCGGCGGACGGGUGAGUAACACGUGGAUAACCUACCUAUAAGACUGGGAUAACUUCGGGAAACCGGAGCUAAUACCGGAUAAUAUAUUGAACCGCAUGGUUCAAUAGUGAAAGACGGUUUUGCUGUCACUUAUAGAUGGAUCCGCGCCGCAUUAGCUAGUUGGUAAGGUAACGGCUUACCAAGGCAACGAUGCGUAGCCGACCUGAGAGGGUGAUCGGCCACACUGGAACUGAGACACGGUCCAGACUCCUACGGGAGGCAGCAGUAGGGAAUCUUCCGCAAUGGGCGAAAGCCUGACGGAGCAACGCCGCGUGAGUGAUGAAGGUCUUCGGAUCGUAAAACUCUGUUAUUAGGGAAGAACAAAUGUAUAAGUAACUAUGCACGUCUUGACGGUACCUAAUCAGAAAGCCACGGCUAACUACGUG